rnacentral:tRNA from 1 species
GGCCGGUUAGCUCAGUCAGUAGAGCGUAGCGCUAACAAUGCUACAGUCGCGAGUUCGAUUCCCGUUCAGUCUC